UCUAGGUCUCUGAAAUUUACUAUGCACAGGGU
rnacentral:piRNA from 1 species